UAAAUGAGUCGAAUGGUUGUCUUAGUUGCCGAUUUCAAUGGGAUUUUGUGCAGAUAUUUAGGAUUUCAUUCUCCGGUACAUCUCUUCAAAAAAACAGAUCCUUCAUGCAAUCAUUUGACAAGGUUUAGCAGCAGAAAAUAAAUGGAGAACAAAGAAGGACCAAGAAAGAAAAAGGAUGCAAGAAGAUCGUGAUUCUGUAUACUGCAAAAGACUUAAAAGCUGGGAAAACUAAUUGGAAAAAGAAAAGGAUGCAAGAAGAUCGUGAUUCUGUAUACUGCAAAAGACUCAAAAGCUGGGAAAACUAAUUGGAUGAUGCAUCAAUACCAUCUUGGUACUGAGAAGGCUGAAAAGGAAGGCGCGUUCCUUGUGUCAAAAGUAUAACCCCACUUCCUUCUCGUCUUCAUCUGUACCGAGAUGAUACUCAUGCAUCACCCAGUUAGUUUUCUCUGUAUAUAAAAGCAUUGAGAGCAUGUGUGCUUCCUGACCAUCGUUGAAGAGGAUGGGUGUUUCCAUUGGAUCAAGAUCAAAUAAGUUGGAUGACAAGAUUUCUGCAAAGAAAGAAAAAGUGGACAGAAAGAAGAAGUGAAGAGAACCUUGGAAUUAUUUCAUCUACAUCUUGAUAAAGGAGGUUAAUUAUAUAUAGACCAAGAAACAACCGUCAUUCUUUAUAUUAGGUUUUUAAGAGAGAACAACAAUAAUAAUAUGUGUAGGAAAAAUGUCAUUAGCCUUUCUAAAUGCAUAACAACUCUAAUGUUGUAUUAAGGGUUCUACAGAUGCUCCAUUGCAAGACACUACUACUUUUAGUUUGUGAAAAGCCUUCCGAAGAAUUUAUGUUGUUGUAUAUUGAUGAGAGUGCCCACGUUAAAUUGAAACCUCUUUGAAAACAAUAUAAUGGAACCUGAGGAAUUCCCCCUUCUAAAAAUAAAUCUAUUACCAUCAUAAAUUGAUUAUGUAAGUGCAUUUGUAAGUUGAAACAUCAAUAUUCAGUUACAAGUAAGGAAUGACGUCUUGAAUGCAAUCAACUUGCACUUUCUGAAUAUUUCUUCAAGAACUCAUGGAGUAAUGCCAGUACAGUUCUUAGAUGGAAGUAAUGUGAGUACAGUUCUUAGAUGGAAGUAAUGUGAUUUGAAGAUACUGAGGCCUGUUAGUGUUGGUCAUAUCCCUGCAUGCA